UGGUUCUCGCAUCGAUGAAGAACGCAGCGAAACGCGAUAGGUAAUGUGAAUUGCAGAAUUCAGUGAAUCAUCGAAUCUUUGAACGCACAUUGCGCCUCCUGGUAUUCCGGGGGGCAUGUCUGUCUGAGCGUCAGUACCCACUCCAAUCGAGAUCUUUUUGGGAUUGUCGAUCGGGUCUUGAGACCUCCGCGUCUCUAAUGUAGUACGCUUGCGGACUCCCACCAACCGGCGAUGUAGUAUAACACACCUCAUCGAUGGGCUGGGAAGGAGCCGCCUUGAACAUGCAAACUUGAACAGUUUGACCUCAGAUCAGACAAGGAUACCCGCUGA
rnacentral:misc_RNA from 1 species